rnacentral:rRNA from 1 species
AUUGAACGCUGGCGGCAUGCUUUACACAUGCAAGUCGAACGGCAGCGCGGGGGCGAACCCUCGGCGGCGAGUGGCGAACGGGUGAGUAAUAUAUCGGAACGUACCCAAGAGUGGGGGAGUAACGUAGCGAAAGUUACGCUAAUACCGCAUACGAUCCAAGGAUGAAAGACAGGGGACCGGCAAGGCCUUGUGCUCCUGGAGCGGCCGAUAUCUGAUUAGCUAGUUGGUGAGGUAAAGGCUCACCAAGGCCACGAUCAGUAGCUGGUCUGAGAGGACGACCAGCCACACUGGAACUGAGACACGGUCCAGACUCCUACGGGAGGCAGCAGUGGGGAAUUUUGACAAUGGGCGCAAGCCUGAUCCAGCAAUGCCGCGUGAGUGAAGAAGGCCUCGGUU